rnacentral:rRNA from 1 species
GUGCUUAACACAUGCAAGUCGAACGGAAAGGUCUCUUCGGAGAUACUCGAGUGGCGAACGGGUGAGUAACACGUGGGUAAUCUGCCCUGCACAUCGGGAUAAGCCUGGGAAACUGGGUCUAAUACCGAAUAGGACCUCGAGGCGCAUGCCUUGUGGUGGAAAGCUUUUGCGGUGUGGGAUGGGCCCGCGGCCUAUCAGCUUGUUGGUGGGGUGACGGCCUACCAAGGCGACGACGGGUAGCCGGCCUGAGAGGGUGUCCGGCCACACUGGGACUGAGAUACGGCCCAGACUCCUACGGGAGGCAGCAGUGGGGAAUAUUGCACAAUGGGCGCAAGCCUGAUGCAGCGACGCCGCGUGGGGGAUGACGGCCUUCGGGUUGUAAACCUCUUUCAGCAGGGACGAAGCGCAAGUGACGGUACCUGCAGAAGAAGCACCGGCCAACUACGUGCCAGCAGCCGCGGUAAUACGUAGGGUGCGAGCGUUGUCCGGAAUUACUGGGCGUAAAGAGCUCGUAGGUGGUUUGUCGCGUUGUUCGUGAAAUC